GCCGGAGUAGCUCAGCUGGUUAGAGCAACGGAAUCAUAAUCCGUAGGUCGGGGGUUCAAGUCCCUCCUCCGGUA
rnacentral:tRNA from 1 species